rnacentral:rRNA from 1 species
UACGAAGGGUGCAAGCGUUAAUCGGAAUUACUGGGCGUAAAGCGUGCGUAGGCGGUUGUUUAAGUCUGCUGUGAAAUCCCCGGGCUCAACCUGGGAAUGGCAGUGGAUACUGGACAGCUAGAGUGUGUCAGAGGAUGGUGGAAUUCCCGGUGUAGCGGUGAAAUGCGUAGAGAUCGGGAGGAACAUCAGUGGCGAAGGCGGCCAUCUGGGACAACACUGACGCUGAGGCACGAAAGCGUGGGGAUCAAACAGG